UCUGGUAUUGACUGUCAUUUUCUUUGUUUAUUUCGCAAUGUGGCAAUGUUGUUGUUUUGAUCCCGCCCUCACCUGCCUUGUGUCACUUCCUGUAAUUGCAGUUCCCUCCAGUUUGUCUGUGCUCACCUGUUUCUCAUUGUGUUCUUAUUUAGAUCCAAUCCCCCAGUGUAUUUAUACCUUGCUCUUUUCAGUUCAUCACAGUUGUUUCUGUGUGUCGUGCUCCAUCUCUGUGACUCUUGUUGUGGAACUUGUGGACUAUUUGCCUGCCUGUUUUGUUGGACUAGUGUUGGAUUACUGUUGCCUGCCCUCUGGAUAAUUUGCCUGCCGUAGACUGCUCUUUCUGGUAUUGACCUCUGCUGCACUGUAUUGAACUUCUAUACAAGAAUAAAGUCAAUUGCAACUGCUAUUGGUCUGCUCUUGGGUCUGACUAGAAAACCUGACAGGUAGGUUUAUUACAGUUGUUACAGUGGUUUCCGUUAAUCUUUUAUUAAGCAUCUGGGUGAAACUAACAUAACGGCCAAUUGCACCUUUGUUGACAUCUCUAGGUGAAGGGAGUCAGCCAGCUGGUCAAGGUUUUUGGUUCCCUGGCCAUAUUUCAGAGACCACUGUUGAUCUCGGCAGCAGGUCUGUGGGCUUCUCCCCCUUCAGCAAACAUCACAGCGGCUAGUCCACCACCGUGGUCUCCAGUCUCCACUACCAACAGCCUGAUAGCUGGGCAUAGUCAAUGGGCUAUACACCUCUUACUGACACCCCAACCCAUACAGCAGCGGGCCAAACUGGAUAUCAAAACAUGACUCACAAAACCAGUCUUCUCUGGAGGCUGUGCCUACAGCAAUUGCCAAGGAGACCCUCAUCCAAUUAGACUCUAUUAGAGUGCAGCAGUUGCUCAUCCUGGUGCAGCUCCAAAAAAUCUCCAGCAGUAAAGCUAUUCCAGAAGUCACACCAGACCCAAUACAUUUCGGGCUCCCACUUUCAACCAUUGAGGAGCUACAACGUUUGGAGGAGACAUUGAACAACUCGGAGGAGAAGAAGAAUUUGGUGAGUUAAAUGAUGCAUUAAUCAGAUCAUUCCUAAAAGUCAGUCCCCACUCUCAUUCAUGCUAUAUUGUUAAACAACUGAUGAGGUACAUGUCUUUUGUUUCAUCCUUGGAAUGGUCGGAGGCAUGACUCUUAAAUAUACCAUGGGGCGUGUCUUAAAAAGAGCUAUGAACACAUCGCUGGCGAGAGUCAUUAAUUGGAGUGGGGCCAACCGAAAGCCUGGAUUUAAAGGGCUCAUUUUGAAAAGUGUGGUUCUGGAUGCAGUCUGCUGGAAUGCCCUGACCAAAGAUUCAACAGAAAAGGAAAUAGCUCAUCAUAAGGUGGCUGCAGCAAGCCUCCGAUAGGGAUGGUGGCCAAAGCCAGAGGGUGAACAGGCAUACAACGUAGACAAAACUCAGAAACGCAGUG